CUCGUGGAUAUCUGCAAGCAUUUCAAGUGUAGUAACGUCAGGCCUGAGGACUUUGUCAAGUUUGCUUCGUUCCAACUCAAGGACCAAGCUGCAGAAUGGUAUCAGCAAUACAAAGAUUCCAGAGGAGGUCGUGUGAUUACCUGCGAUGAAUUCUGUCAAGACUUCAAAGCUUACCACAUUCCUCAGAGUGUUGUUGAGAGCAAGCGUGAGGAGUUCCGCAAUCUGAAGCAAGGCAACUUCUCUGUUUACCAGUAUAACAUCAUGUUCCAGAAGCUCGCUCGUUUCGCUAAGCAAGACGUCCCUGACGAGAAGAGCAUGAUUUAUCAGUUCAGAGGUGGCCUCAGAGAAGAUCUUCAACUAGCUCUUGUGCUUUCCGAACCGCAGAAGUACGAUGAGUUUUACAAUAUGGCACUGAAACAAGAGACUGCUUAG
rnacentral:rRNA from 1 species